rnacentral:misc_RNA from 1 species
UUUCCGUAGGUGAACCUGCGGAAGGAUCAUCAAUAAAUCCAUUUUAUUCACCCUUGUGAACUGCGUGCUGGAGCUCGCUUGUCGAGCUCUAAUGGGCGCCUAUGGUCGUAGUGUUGCUGGCCUCGGCUGCAGCCUGCGACCCGGCGUUCCAUAAAAACACCUUUAUUAAUACAAGCUAAUGCAAAAACAAUAAAUAAAACAACUUUCAACAAUGGAUCUCUUGGCUCUC